AUGCUCUUAGCACGGGCCUUACAGAGCGCCCUCACGGUUUCCCCUAUGACCAUGCUCUGCGCUCUGCGUCACCUCCGUGCCACAGCCAGAACUACUGCAGGCGGAAGCAGUGGGAGAUUGACACCGCCCCCACCCCCUCCCUUCCAGUCAGCAACGCGGUGGCUACGUGACGCACAGAAUCACUCAGCACGGAAGGCAGACGUGGGAGCUGGAGAAUGGCCGCAAACCAAUCCCCGCCGCUUUAAGCUCUCUGGUCCCUCCACAUCCGGGAGGGGGCAGAGUCACAUCGGACAAGGACCGGAAGAACCUCCCCCGGAGCCGAUCCCUGCCUUCCACCCUACAACGUGGGCCUGCUCUUGGCGCCAGCCUUGUGGAGCGCCCUCAAAGCCUCCACUGUGGCCAUGCUCUGCGUCACUUACACACUGCAGCCACAGCUACUGCGGGCAGAAGCAGGAGGAGAUUGACACCGCCCCCACCCCCUCCAUUCCAGUCAGCAACGCGGUGACAACGUCAUGCACGGAAGGACUCAGCACAGAAGGCGGAUGUGGGAGCUGGAAAAUGGCCGCCUGGCCUGGGAGCUCAGCCUGCCCCAGGGAGCCANCGCUGGAGCCAAGGCAAGCCUACUGUAGCAGAAGUGAUUUCAACCAGACUCCACAUGGAUGAGACCCUGCAGAGCUCAGU
rnacentral:lncRNA from 14 species